rnacentral:rRNA from 1 species
AGCAGCCGCGGUAAUUCCAGCUCCAAUAGUGUAUAUUAAAGUUGUUGCAGUUAAAAAGCUCGUAGUUGAAUUUCGGGAUCAAUGUUUCGGUCAUGCCGUUGGUAUGUACUGAUAUUAUUGGUUUCUCACCUUCUAAAGAACCGUAAUGCCAUUAAUUUGGUGUCACGGGGAAUUAGGACUGUUACCUUGAAAAAAUUAGAGUGUUUAAAGCAGGCUAACGCUUGAAUACAUUAGCAUGGAAUAAUGAAAUAGGACAUCCGAUUCUAUUUUGUUGGUUUCCAGGAUCGAUGUAAUGAUUAAUAGGGAUAGUUGGGGGCAUUAGUAUUCAAUUGUCAGAGGUGAAAUUCUUGGAUUUAUUGAAGACUAACUACUGCGAAAGCAUUUGCCAAGGAUGUUUUCAUUAAUCAAGAAUGAAAGUUAGGGGAUCGAAGACGAUCAGAUACCGUCGUAGUCUUAACCAUAAACUAUGCCGACUAGGGAUCGGAUGAUGUUAAUUUUUUAAUGACUC